rnacentral:rRNA from 1 species
ACCUGCCCUAUGAUAUAUAUUAAAUGGCCGCGAUAUUUUGAUCGUGCAAAGGUAGCAUAAUCAUUAGUUUUUUAAUUGAGAACUGGUAUGAAAGGUUGAACGAAAAAAAAACUGUCUCAGAUUUAAUUUAAUUAGAAUUUUAUUUUUAAGUAAAAAAGCUUAAAUAUAUUUAAAAGACGAGAAGACCCUAUAGAGUUUUAUAAUUAAUAUUAUAAAAAAAAUAUUUAGUAUAUAAAUUUUUAUUUUUUUAUUAAUUAUUUAGUUGGGGUGAUUGAAAAAUUUAAUAAACUUUUUUUUAUUAUUGUAACAUUAAUAUAUGAUAAAUUGAUCCAUAUUUUAUGAUUAAAAGAUUAAA